AAUAUAAUAUAAUUACUGUUACGUAUCAAAUAAACGUAUACAUUUCAUAAUGUAUAGUGGGGAUUGUCCUAUCAUACACGAGUACACGUCGUGCAUGUCUCGUGCAUCAGUCGAUCAGUCUAUGUCCACAGUGUCAAUAAUAUACACAUAUUUAUAAUUCAUUUUUUUUUCAUUAUUUAUAAUAACACAAUUUUACGUUCGAGUAUAUCUUAUUCAUAUAAAUAUUACAACUCAAUGAAUUGGUGACGAGGUUAUUUUCUAUUCGAACUCAAUUUCAUAGCAGUAUAUUUAAAAUGGCCGAUGGCAAAACAAGUAUCACUCAGUGUCAUCACAUAAUAGGCUCACCUGGAAAAUUUGAAUCUGGUAACGAUAUAAUAAUAUUUGAAUCGAGACUUACAAAUUUUUUUAUAGCAAAUGGAAUCACAAACGAAGUCCAGAAGAAAGCCAUAUUCUUAUAUUCAAUUUCUGAGGAAGUUCACAAAAUAUUAUUCAGCUUAUGUGUUCCACAUAGCCCGGACACUCUCACGACACACUUCUAGGUUUAUUAACUGAAUAUUACAAGCCAGUAAAAUCGUACUUCGUAUCGCGAUGUGCAUUUUACAAUGCAAAACAGCAACCAGACGAGUCUGUAGCUGAAUGGGGUGCAAGAGUAAAGAACCUCGCAUCAAAAUGUAAUUUUACAACGGAAUUGCCAAUUUGAAUCCGUGACAUUUUUGCUGUGGGUAUGAACUCAGGUCAAAUUCAAGAUCGACUACUCGAAGAAGAUGCUUCAAAAAUAAGCAUCGGGUAUUCGCAUCUCAUGGAAAUUGCCACUGCAAAAGAAUCUAUAAGUAAUAAUAAAAAUAAGGACAAUAAGGUGGAAUCGACUCGUACUCGUGUAACUUGGAAUUAGUUAAGGAUUUUCAAUAUAAAGAUCAAAAUCGACAAAAAGAAAAAAUCACAAAAAUAUUAGUCAAAGUACUCAUAAAGUAACAUUUGACGAGGGUUCUAAAUGGACUAGACACAAUAAUCACAUAUGGCCACAUAGUCAAAUAAAUUACUCAUUUUCCCCCCGAGACUAACAUUAUAGAUUCACUCAUUAAUGAUGCUACUCAAUGUCUCAAUCUAAACCAACACAUAACAUCAACCGAUAAACAAACUAUUCCUACACCCUCAAAAACUAGAAAGCCACCUCAACAUUUUACUCCUUCUAACUAUAAAUAAUAAAUAACAAAUACAGUAACAUAUUUGCCAAAAUUUUUAAUUUUGUUUUCAUAAAAAUAACAAUUUCAGUCAUCUAUUGCUUAUAACAUAUUAUACACCAUAUUCAUAUUAUUAUAUAUUUAUAUUAUUAUUAUUAUUAUUAAAGUGCGUUUUAGUAUUGUAAUCAUUAACGGAUAAUAAAUUGAAAUGUUCUCAAUUGUAUUAUAUUAAAUUAUAUUUGUUUAAUUAUUGAAUUAUUUAAUUCUAAUAAAAGUGGUGUUACGUAUCAAAUAACUUUAUGUAUAUAAUAUAUGGUGGGGGAUUGUCCUAGGUUUUUGUACGAAACAUAGCAAUCUGUGCAUACCGUUUCAAUAAUAUAUAGUAUACACAUAUUUAUAAUAACUCAAGUUAUGUUCGAGUGCCUAAUAUUCAAAUUAAAAUUACGACUCAACAAUUACUGUAACAACACAUAAUAUAAAUAUAUGUGCAUAGUACGCUACACGUAUAUUGGCGUGGUGGUUUGCCUACAAUAUUAUACUAUAGAUAAACUUAUAUAGACUUAGACUUAUCUAGAAUUUAAUUUGUAUUUGAAGUCUUCUUUGCUAGAGUAUUGUGUAUAAAAUAAUAUAUUUCUCACGCGUUUGUUGACUUAAGAGCACCAUAAACCUAACAUAUAAGGUACAUAUGCACACAUCGUGACACGUAUAUGCGUUUACAUAAGUGUUCCGCUGUAUCUACAGGUGUAGUGAUAACUGUACGAUUUGGGCGAAGUGCACAGUAAUAAUUAGUCGAGACAACAAUAAUAAUAGGUAUAUAUUGCCUGCAUAAUCAUUCAGUGACUGCGAAACACAUACGAAAUGUUCAAAUACGUCUACUUAAUCGUGUGCGUAUUGUGUCUAUUCUACGUGCUCGCUGCCGUCCACAUGCUGUUCAGCGAUUUGAUAUUGGAUCCAUUGUACGGUUAUUUGUUCGACCAAGUGGACACUGCUGCCGGCCAAACCACCAGCUAGGGUAUUUCCACCGUAAAUGUCGACGUAUUCAAAUCGUCAGCAAAACGUUCAACGGUUAUAAAGAUUGGUACAACUGCUCCCGACAGACCAAAAGCGUGACAAAAUAAAUUUGUUAUGUAGUGAUCAUAAUAAUGUAGUUACCGUUAGCGACCACGGUCCACACGACCACAUGUCCACAUCAUGUUCUGCAGCAGUGGUCCGUCACCACCAGCCGUACGGAAAUAUUAAUCGUAUAAGCCAAACUGACCGUGGACCAACUCACAUAAUUUUAAUAUCACAAGAAUUUCUAUUUAGGUGUAAUACAAUGGCAAAAUUGACUUCAGAUCCAAAAACUGUUAGUAACUAUUAAUAAACCACUUCUAAUCCAACAAACAAAUUUCAAGAAAGCAAAAAUGUUCAACUUUAGAUUGAAUGUCCUGCCAAAUAAUCUCCUCAGGACGUUCAGAAAAUGGUUUUGAAGAUUUAACAAAGACUUAAACAAGCUUAGUAUCAUUCAAAAAGAAAAAAGAACUGAUGGUUAUCAAAAAUGGUACCUUAAAUUAUGCAGUUAUCAUUAUCCAUAGGCCCAAUAUUUUUCAUAUUUAUUUUCAUUUUAAUAGUCAUUAUGCAGGCAUCCACAGCCAUAAGAUAAUAUGAAAAAAAAUGAGGACUUCAGCACCCCCACCUUUUUUAUUGAAAUUGCGCCCCUGCCGUUAUCAGGGUAUAAAAUUAUAAAAUUUGGCCCAAAAUGACUGUCGUCAGCUCUGCAUAUAAUCUAUAUUUUUUAUUUUACGUUUUCCAAAAUUAAUAAAUCCUUCAGAAUAAAUUAACAUAUAACCAUAGCUUUUAGCUUUUUAUUUUUAUGUAAUAAAUGUGAAUAUUAUUAUAAUAGUUAUUUUUAAGUUAACCAUCAACUACAUUUUAUUGUUAUAAAAUAAAAUUUCACUCGUGAGUAUACACUUUUAAUACACAAUAACCCCUAAAUUUAAUUUGAAUUCCUUGUAUUAUUUAGGGAAUAUUGUAAUAACAAAAUAGUUAUCAAACACUUGACGUUAUUUAUGUCAGAAACCAUAAAAGGUAGUUAAAAAAAAUUAUGUGUAAUAAAUAUGUAAAUAUAUUACUUAUUACUAAAUUACCUAUUACAAGGUAGACAAAUAAGUUUAAAUCAAAUUCAAAAAUGUUAUUGUUUUUUUAUUAAAUAAAAAAAAAAAAAAUAUUUUUAAACUUAUGUACCGUUUUAAUUU